UACGUAGGGUGCAAGCGUUAAUCGGAAUUACUGGGCGUAAAGCGUGCGCAGGCGGUGAUGUAAGAGAGACGUGAAAUCCCCGGGCUCAACCUGGGAACUGCAUUUGUGACUGCAUCGCUGGAGUGCGGCAGAGGGGGAUGGAAUUCCGCGUGUAGCAGUGAAAUGCGUAGAUAUGCGGAGGAACACCGAUGGCGAAGGCAAUCCCCUGGGCCUGCACUGACGCUCAUGCACGAAAGCGUGGGGAGCAAACAGG
rnacentral:rRNA from 1 species